UACGAAGGGGGCUAGCGUUGCUCGGAAUCACUGGGCGUAAAGCGCACGUAGGCGGCUUUCUAAGUCAGGGGUGAAAUCCUGGAGCUCAACUCCAGAACUGCCUUUGAUACUGGAGAGCUUGAGUCCGGAAGAGGUGAGUGGAACUCCGAGUGUAGAGGUGAAAUCGUAGAUAUUCGGAAGAACACCAGUGGCGAAGGCGGCUCACUGGUCCGGUACUGACGCUGAGGUGCGAAAGCG
rnacentral:rRNA from 1 species